CCUACGGGUGGCUGCAGUGGGGAAUAUUGGACAAUGGGCGAAAGCCUGAUCCAGCCAUGCCGCGUGUGUGAAGAAAGCCUUCGGGUUGUAAAGCACUUUCAGUGGGGAAGAAAGCCUUGGGGCUAAUACCCUCGAGGAAGGACAUCACCCACAGAAGAAGCACCGGCUAACUCCGUGCCAGCAGCCGCGGUAAUACGGAGGGUGCGAGCGUUAAUCGGAAUUACUGGGCGUAAAGCGCGCGUAGGCGGUCUGAUAAGCCGGUUGUGAAAGCCCCGGGCUCAACCUGGGAACGGCAUCCGGAACUGACAGGCUAGAGUGCAGGAGAGGAAGGUAGAAUUCCCGGUGUAGCGGUGAAAUGCGUAGAGAUCGGGAGGAAUACCAGUGGCGAAGGCGGCCUUCUGGACUGACACUGACGCUGAGGUGCGAAAGCGUGGGUAGCAAACAGGAUUAGAUACCCGGGUAGUC
rnacentral:rRNA from 1 species